rnacentral:lncRNA from 1 species
CCACCCCUGCCCUCAGCCUCCUUCAAAGUGGCCGCUGGGGCUGGGGUCUGUCUUUGCAGAGGUGCCAGGCCACAUGCCCUGCCCACCUCUACCAGCUAUGCCGCCUCUGAAGUUCCUCCAGCGGCACUGAGGAGGGGCCCUGUGGUCGAGGGUGCAGUUAAACGAGGCCCGACCGGGUAGUUGAGCUCAGCUUGGCUGUACUUGUCUUCCUUGGACCUGCUGGGCACCCCCAGGAGGGCCAUGGUUAUAGACACAGGUUCGGAGUCAGCCCCAGCUUGAAUCCUGCUUCUGCCACCAGCCCUGUGACCUGAAGCAAGUGAGUCCCAAUCACCUCAUCUGUGCACUGAGAUGCAGAGUGGCUAUUUCUACUGCAUGUGGCUGUUGUGGGGACUGGGCGAGAGAGAUCCCCAAUAGGUGCUAUGAUUUUUCUCCCUGCUUUGCCCUCCAGCCAUACCCGGAAGCCCCCGAGUUUUGAUCUGGCCCAGGUAGACCGAUCAUUUCCUCCAAGUCCCCCUUCCCUGAGGAGCUGGCGUGCUUCAGUCUCACAGAAUGGGCAACUGAGGUUGAGAGAAAGGAAAUAACUUGUCCCAGGCCAGCAGCUGAGUCACGACCAAGGCACUUCGUUCUUCAUCUAGUGCGGCCUGUGCAGCCAAAAUGCCUUCCCAUGAGCUUGCCACAUAACCAUGGGUGGCUCACUGGACUUUCAUCUGGGCAAAGAGAAGGGUGUGCUGACACUACUCAUGGCUCCUUCAUCUGGGACCUACCCAAAUCCCGUGGCUUUGCUCACAAUCAUCUGAUCCUGUUGUGCCCAAGAUGCCUGCUCCCAUGCCUGGAUACCUGCUGCAGCUGCUCCAAGCCAGGACCCUGCCAAUCUGUCAUUUUAGAUCUUCAGCUCUGGGUUGGUCUUCCAGGUGCCUCUGCCUCCCAAGGAAACCCAAGGAACUCCGCCAGAAAGGGAAUGCCUAAAAGAGCAGCAGUGGGGACUGUAGGGGUCCUCCUGCCUGCCCCUUUGUUAUCCAGAGUGGGGCCCUGACUUGCCUGAAGUCACACAGGGACUCCGGUAUUCCAAUCCUCGGCCUUAAGAUCGCUGCUAUCCGGUUACUUCUAUCUAAAAGCCCUAGAGAAGUUUCGGGAGACACUCAAAGGGCCCUUGUCUGGUUUCCAGGCUGACCAACUCUAAUGGAGAAAAAGCUCACUCACUAAGCAUACAUCAAAUGCCAGGCGUAUAGAAUCCUUCAGUGGAGGGAUCAUUCUCCCCAUUUUACAGAGGAAUAA